rnacentral:rRNA from 1 species
UACGAAGGGGGCUAGCGUUGCUCGGAAUCACUGGGCGUAAAGAGCUCGUAGGCGGCUUGUCACGUCGGGUGUGAAAGCCCGGGGCUUAACCCCCGGGUCUGCAUUCGAUACGGGCUAGCUAGAGUGUGGUAGGGGAGAUUGGAAUUCCUGGUGUAGCGGUGGAAUGCGCAGAUAUCAGGAGGAACACCGAUGGCGAAGGCAGAUCUCUGGGCCGUAACUGACGCUGAGGAGCGAAAGCGUGGGGAGCGAACAGG